CUUUCGACGACGAAACGGUAGCGUUUUGAAUAUUGGUUUAUUAGCUAAAUUUUACGUGGAAAAUCAAAAAUCCUAAAAAAAAAAAAAUUAGACAUCGGAUCGAGUCCACAUUUGACACACAUGUUGGGGCUAGCCUUAAUGUCGUUCGAUAAAAAAUUCGGAAAAUUUCGCCGUUAGGGGGCGCAAUAAACGAGGAAAUUGUAUAUCUUCUACAAAAUUUCGCCGCGAAAACGCCACACUGACUUCUCGCUACUCCUACCACAGUCAAAUCCUUUGUAUCCACAGGUUCAGGGUAGCGUUUUGAACACAUGCUUCGCGUUGUGCCGGCGAAACGCACAUUUCUUGUCGCGUUGUGCCGGCGAAAUGCACACUUCUUGUUCUUAUACUUCCUACCAAGAAAGUGGUACCACAGCCCUGACCGUAAAUGGUGCCGACAUGCCAAUUGCAUGACUAGAUCCAGGUCCGUGAAGACUAUUCAGACGACAAAAUCCAGACACGCCGGCCACUAGGUGGCGCUAUACCAAGGAAAGACGCG
ensembl:lncRNA